UGUUCCAAGGUUGUUUUUAGCACCAACAUUCUGUUCCAUGCUCUGCUGUGUCACAGGGCUAAGCAGAAGACGAGUAGCUGCCAGAAGCUACUGGCUCAUCCUCCCUUCCCUCACUAGGCUGCCUCUAGCCUCUGCCUCAGCUGCCCUGAUGAGUCGAUAAGAGAUGGGCCCAGAUAAGGGAAUAGAUUUUCAGGCUGCAUUAAGACUGUGGACCACAAACCUCCAGGAAGUGAUGCAGAGCAAAAGGAGCAGAACCAGGAGAACAUUGUACACAGAGACUGAUACACUGUGGUACAAUUGAAUGUAAUGGACUUCUCCAUUAGUGGCAAUGCAAUGUCCCUGAACAAACUGGAGGAAUCUAUGAGAAACAAACAAACAAACAAACAAACAAACAAACACUAUCCACAUGCAGAGAAAAACCUGUGGGAGUAAAAACACAGAAGAAAAGCAACAGCUUGACUACAGGGCUCGAGGGGCAUAUGAUUGGGGAUGUAGACCCUAAAUGAACAUCCCAGUGCAAACAUCAACAGCAUGGAAAUAGGUUCUGAUCAAGGACACAUGCAAUGCCCAGUGGAAUUGUGCGUCGACUAUGGGAAGGGUGGCGGGAGGGGAGGGAGGAAAAGAAAAUGAUUUUUGUAUCCAAGGAAUAAUGUUAGAAAUUGAACAAAUAAAAUAAUGUUUAAAAUCUAAAAAAAAAAAUGG
rnacentral:lncRNA from 1 species